rnacentral:rRNA from 1 species
CCUACGGGUGGCAGCAGUGGGGAAUAUUGCACAAUGGGGGAAACCCUGAUGCAGCGACGCCGCGUGAGUGAAGAAGUAAUUCGUUAUGUAAAGCUCUAUCAGCAGGGGAGUAACUGACGGUACCUGAGUAACAAGCCCCGGCUAACUACGUGCCAGCAGCCGCGGUAAUACGUAGGGGGCCAGCGUUAUCCGGAUGUACGGGGUGUAAAGGGGGCGUAGACGGCAGUGCAAGUCUGGAGUGAAAGGCGGGGGCUCAACCCCCGGCCUGCUCUGGAAACUGUACGGCUUGAGUGCAGGAGAGGUAAGUGGAAUUCCUAGUGUAGCGGUGAAAUGCGUAGAUAUUAGGAGGAACACCAGUGGCGAAGGCAGCUUACUGGAGUGUAACUGACGUUGAGGCUCGAAAGCGUGGGGAGCAAACAGGAUUAGAUACCCUUGUAGUC